rnacentral:rRNA from 1 species
UACGUAGGGUGCGAGCGUUAAUCGGAAUUACUGGGCGUAAAGCGUGCGCAGGCGGUUUUGUAAGCCAGAUGUGAAAUCCCCGGGCUUAACCUGGGAAUGGCAUUUGGGACUGCAAGGCUGGAGUGCGGCAGAGGAGACUGGAAUUCCUGGUGUAGCAGUGAAAUGCGUAGAUAUCUGGAGGAACACCGGUGGCGAAGGCGGCUACCUGGCCCAACAUUGACACUGAGACCCGAAAGCGUGGGGAUCAAACAGG